GCGGGCGGGGCGGCAGCGUGCGCAGCCGGACGGGCUUCUGGGUCGCACGCGUCCUUCCCCCACGGGACCGCGCGCGGCUUGGCCGCGACCGGAAGCCUCAGUCAACAUAAGAUUGGGUGAAGGAACAUGACACUGAUGGAGGUUCUGUCUCUCCUACAAGCCACAACCAGCAGAGUUGGUAGAAAGGAAGAAUGAAACAUUAAAGCAGCAGACUGAAUUACCAACAGGUAAAACCACCUUGGCCAGAUGGACUGAAGUACUAUCCCAGGCUUUAAGACAUUUGAGUGAUCAACCAGUAGGGCCUGCUGCCCCACAGGCCAGAUGGGAGACCCUUGCUUAGACACACAAUACCCACAGUAAGGUAUGGAAAUUGCAGGAGACAGCCAUUUCCCUCUCACUGUGGAUCUACAUGCUAUGCUGCUGAGAACACCAAGCCCCAUCACACCUGGGAAGGGAGUUUGCAAUGGGAUUUGUAAAGGGACAUCCCACCAAGAUGGGUGAGUUACUUUGCAUCCCUGUAGGAGGAGGAAUGACUCAUUCUCCACUGGGAUGCUGAUGUCCUGCUGCAAACCAGACCCAUCCAGGUACUAUACCUGGAACAGAACACACACCUUUGAAAAAGGGGAGAAGGUGGGAGUCCUGGUCUGGCAGAUCCUGCCCCGUCCAUCUCCUCACACCUGAUAGUGCUUCCUCCCCCAGCCAACACGGAAGGUACACACAACUAGGUCAAGUUCCUAAAGCUGCAGCCACAUUAACAUCUAAUUAUCAGGCCACAAGUGUAAUUCUUUUUCAUUUAUUUAUUAAUUUUUUUUUUCCACAAGUGUAAUUCUUAUAGGGGAAGACCUCCCCAUACAAGUUCCUACUAAAAAAAAGGUUACUACCUAGUACCUAGUUUAGGAGAACUCCAAUAUUUAAAAGGUAGGGUGGAGGAGAGAAGCAAAGUGUGUUACAUGGAAGUUGAGAUUCAAGAAGGGAGUGGCCAGGGACUUCCCUGGUGGUGCAGUGGUUAAGAAUCCGCCUGCCAAUGCAGGGGACAUGGGUUCGAGCCCUGGUCCGGGAAGAUCCCACAUGCCGCGGAGCAACUAAGCCUGUGUGUGCACGCACCACAACUACUGAGCCUGCACUCUAGAGCCCGCGAGCCACAACUACUGAAGCCCAUGUGCCUAGAGCCCGUGCUCCGCAACAAGAGAAGCCACCGCAAUGAGAAGCCCGCUCACCGCAACGAAGAGUAGCCCCCGCUCGCCGUAACUAGAGAAAGCCCGUGUGCAGCAACGAACACCCAAUGCAGCCAAAAAUAAAUAAAAUACAAUAUAAAUAAAUUUUAAAAUGCUGUGAAUGCAGAACACA